rnacentral:rRNA from 1 species
CCUACGGGAGGCAGCAGUCGAGAAUCAUUCACAAUGGGGGAAACCCUGAUGGUGCGACGCCGCGUGGGGGAAUGAAGGUCUUCGGAUUGUAAACCCCUGUCAUGUGGGAGCAAAUUAAAAAGAUAGUACCACAAGAGGAAGAGACGGCUAACUCUGUGCCAGCAGCCGCGGUAAUACAGAGGGCUCAAGCGUUGUUCGGAAUCACUGGGCGUAAGGCGUGCGGAGGCUGUUUCGUAAGUCGUGUGUGAAAGGCGCGGGCUCAACCCGCGGACGGCACAUGAUACUGCGAGACUAGAGUAAUGGAGGGGGAACCGGAAUUCUCGGUGUAGCAGUGAAAUGCGUAGAUAUCGAGAGGAACACUCGUGGCGAAGGCGGGUUCCUGGACAUUAACUGACGCUGAGGCACGAAGGCCAGGGGAGCGAAAGGGAUUAGAUACCCUUGUAGUC